UAUUAUAUUUAUUACUGUCGUUAUUACUGUCGUUAUUACUGUCGUUAUUAAUGUUUUUAUUAUUGUCGUUAUUAAUGUUUUUAUUAUUGUCGUUAUUAUUGUCGUUAUUAAUGUUUUUAUUAAUGUUUUUAUUGUUUUGUUGGGUGUUUAACAUAACAAUUUGGGAUGCAUUUUUAUUUUGAUUUUGUUUUAAUUUCUCGUUUUUAUGUUGUACAUUUAUUUGAUUAUUUUGUUUUUCGUUAUAAUUAUAUUUUCCGUACAUUGUAUUUUUUUUACUAAUGUUACUAUAGUUAUUAUUGUAAACAUUUGCUUUUAAUCGUGUGUUUUUAUUGGAUGAUUUAUUAUUCAUAUUGUAAUUAUUAUUACUGUUAUUAUUAUUAUUAUUACUGUUAUAAUUAUAAUUAUUACUAUUAUUAUAAUUAUUACUAUUAUUAUAAUUAUUAUUAUUAUUAUUAUAAUUAUUACUAUUAUUAUUAUUAUUAUUAUUAUUAUAAUUAUUACUAUUAUUAUAAUUAUUAUAAUUAUAAUUAUUAUUACUAUUAUUAUAAUUAUUAUUAUUAUAAUUAUUAUUACUAUUAUUAUAAUUAUUAUUAUUAUUAUUAUUAUUAUAAUUAUAAUUAUUACUAUUAUUAUUAUUAUAAUUAUAAUUAUUACUAUUAUUAUUAUUACUAUUAUUACUAAUAUAAUUAUAAUUAUUACUAUUAUUAUUAUUACUAUUAUUAUUAUUAUUAUAAUUUUUCAUUUGUUUUUCUUCAUUUUUUUUUUUAUUCUUCUCUUUCUUUUUUCUUUCGUCCUUGUUGUUAUCCAUUCCGUUCUUCCUAUAUAUAUUAUUAACGUUAUUGUUAUUGUUAUUGUUAUUGUUCUUGUUAUUGUUGUUAUUGUUUUUGUAGUUCUUAUUGUUGUUGUAGUGCUUAUUAUUCGAGUUCUUAUUGUUGUAGAUUCCAUUACUAAUGUUAUUAUUGUUCAUUUUGUUAUUGUUAUGAUUGCUACCAGUAUUAUAUCUCUUUGUAUUAUUUGUUAUAUGCAUUUUAUUAAAUGUAUUUACAAAUACAUCAACAUUAUUAUUAUAACUUUCAUUAUAUUGAUUAUUAUAGUUCACAUUAUAAUUAUCUUUCUUAUUACUGUUAAUGUUAUUAUUGUUAUUAUUGUUAUUAAUGUUAUUAUUGUUACUAUUACUGUUAAUGUUAUUAUUACUGUUAAUGUUAUUAUUACUGUUAAUGUUAUUAUUGUUAUUAUCAUUAAUGUGCUUACCAACUCCGUCGUAUAUAUAAUUAUCUUCCCCAUCAGUAUUUUUCAUUUUUACUUCUCCAUUCUCACAUGGUACAGUUUCUGUUUUUUCACUGUUAUAUAAACAACUUGUUACAUUUAUAUUUCCUCCUGUACCUGUAUUACUUUUUUCUAAUAAUAUUUCUGGUAUUCUAGGUACUCUUAAUUCAUCUAAUGUAUGCGCAAAACGACAUGUAUGACCAUUAAGGCAAGUUUUAUUUGCAAAAAAAUUUGCACAUAGAAGAUUUAUAUGCAAAUAAAUUUUGUGCAGAUUUAAGCUCCUCUUGAUUA
ensembl:lncRNA